rnacentral:lncRNA from 1 species
UAAUUUGUGAUGUGUGAAUCUACUUUGAUUGUUUUAUGCACCGAUUAUUAUUUGAACAAUUCUCACCUCCUUUUUGUGUUAUUGCUCCUAUGCUCUUCUGGAUUAUAUACAACCAGAUACCUGAGUAGGAGCUUGAUGUUGACGAUGGAGUUAUGCCUCUUUAGUUGCUUGUCGAUCGAGUCUUAUAGUUGGAGUCGCUCUUAU